rnacentral:rRNA from 1 species
UUUAUUGGGCGUAAAGGGCUCGUAGGUGGUUGAUCGCGUCGGAAGUGUAAUCUUGGGGCUUAACCCUGAGCGUGCUUUCGAUACGGGUUGACUUGAGGAAGGUAGGGGAGAAUGGAAUUCCUGGUGGAGCGGUGGAAUGCGCAGAUAUCAGGAGGAACACCAGUGGCGAAGGCGGUUCUCUGGGCCUUUCCUGACGCUGAGGAGCGAAAGCGUGGGGAGCGAACAGGCUUAGAUACCCUGGUAGUCCACGCUGUAAACGGUGGGUACUAGGUGUGGGGUCCAUUCCACGGGUUCCGUGCCGUAGCUAACGCUUUAAGUACCCCGCCUGGGGAGUACGGCCGCAAGGCUAAAACUCAAAGGAAUUGACGGGGCCCGCACAAGCGGUAAUCG